rnacentral:rRNA from 1 species
UGGGGAAUAUUGGACAAUGGGCGCAAGCCUGAUCCAGCCAUGCCGCGUGAGUGACGAAGGCCUUAGGGUUGUAAAGCUCUUUUGGCGGGGACGAUAAUGACGGUACCCGCAGAAUAAGCCCCGGCUAACUCCGUGCCAGCAGCCGCGGUAAUACGGAGGGUGCAAGCGUUGUUCGGAAUUACUGGGCGUAAAGCGCGUGUAGGUGGUCGAGCAAGUCGAGUGUGAAAGCCCCGAGCUUAACUUGGGAAUUGCGCUCGAAACUACUUGGCUGGAGUGUGGCAGAGGAGGGUGGAAUUCCACGUGUAGCGGUGAAAUGCGUAGAGAUGUGGAGGAACACCGAUGGCGAAGGCAGCCCUCUGGGCCAACACUGACGCUCAUGCACGAAAGCGUGGGGAGCAAACAGGAUUAGAUACCCUAGUAGUCCCUGAGCGGGCUGGCAAGGCGCAU